AUUAUAUUUGCUCCGAAUGGUUCGUAUAUCACUGUUCAGUGAUAUAUGAUUAAAAGGGAAUCGGGUGCAAAUCCCGGACAGUCCCGCUGCUGUGAUCUCCUUAUAAAAGGUUGCGAUAAAUACUUGUGCCACUGUUUUUAUUUAAAUGGGAAGGCUAUCGAAACCGGAGUCAGUCAGAAGACCUGCCAUACGUUUUUUUAGAAG
rnacentral:ncRNA from 2 species